CGGCCUUGCGGACAGUGGAGGCGGUGCUGGGCGUGCCACCGCUGUGCUCGUGUGCCUAUGAGCAGCAAUUUGCCAGCCAACGCUACCUCGACGUCAGAACGGAUGGUGAGUUCGGCAGCGGGCAUCCGGUAGGAGCGGUGAACAUAUCACAUAUACAUGUACAACACCGGCUCAGGCACCGAAGUGGCAUCUUGGUACUGCGACUGGCCAUCACUGGAUGACGUAUUAUUGGUAUCACUACUUUGAAACCAAUGUUCACAAGCUUAUAAUAUGUAUUACUGACAUACAUGGGUGCAUGCAUGGUGUACAGAUAGUAGUUGUGCAGGCAUUGUUGUCCAAAGUCAGUAUUUUUUUGUCGCAAAAGAGCGACUAUUAUUGCCGUGGCAUUCUUGUUCAUGGUGCAGGAAAUCUCUGGACAUGACAAAAGUAUAUAUCUAGCAAGGUGGCAUUGCAUCAGCAUUUUUUGAGCUUUUCAAGAAUAUAGACAAGGUAGUAAGUUUCAUGGUGGAUCAAGCACGAUUUUGGUUUAUUUGUUUAUGAGCACUACCAUAAUUUAC